AUAUAAUACAGCAUGUAAUCUUUUGCCACAAGGUAUUAUACCAUGUUUAAACUAAAAGACCUUUCUUUUCUUUUUUUUUUGUUGCAUAUAUUUAGAGACAUAUAAAAAUCGAUCUUAUUAUGGUGCACCGGAUUAUAUCUGUGAUAAAUGUGAUGCUAUAUUUUGGUACCAAGAGCGUAUCGAAAAAAGCAGCUCACAUGCCCAAAAAAGAAUUAUAUAUAAUUUGUGUUGCCAUGGUGAGAAAAUCUCAUUGCCAUGCUUUAGACCUAGACCAGAACUACUUAAUGAACUUAUUCGGUUUGAUGGAGGCCCACAAAGCAAUAAAUUUAUGCGUCAUAUAAGACAAUACAACUCUAUAUUUGCUUUUACCUCUAUGGGAGUUCAUAUUGAUCAAAGCAUUAACACUGGUGAUGGCCCAUAUGUCUUUCGUAUCAAUGGUGUUGUCCAUCAUCGUAUAGGAUCUUUAUUGCCUAAAGAGGGCGAGCCUCCUCAAUAUGCUCAACUUUAUAUCUAUGAUACUGAGAAUGAAAUAACCAAUAGACUAAAUAUAUUUGGUAAUGACGCAGCGUCGAGAGAUUUAGAUCCAGCUAUUGUAGCAAAUAUCAUAAAGAUGCUAGAUGCAUAUAAUCCUUUAGUAAAAGAAUUCAGAAUGGCAAGAGAUCGUUUAUUAUCACCAACUGCUCCGGAUAUCUCAAUCAGAUUAAUCGGAAGUUAUACAACUCAUGCGGACAGAUAUGGUUUACCUACUGCUUCUGAAUUAGCUGCUUUGGUGAUUGGCGAUGCUUCUAUUGGUGCAAUUGAAUUUGACAUCAUUGUUGAAUGUCAUAGCGGUGAAUUCAAACAGAUACAUCCUAUACAUCCAGCAUUGAUUGCAUUACAAUAUCCUCUUCUGUUUCCAUAUGGUGAGCCAAGUUACCAUUUGGGUAUCAAAUAUAAACAGAUCGAUGGUCAGCCUUUGACUAGUAGACAAGAGAUCACAAUGCUCGAAUAUUUUACCUAUUAUGCUCAUUACCGAAAAUAUGUCCCAAAUCCCUAUACUUGCUGUGGUCGAUUAUCUGAUCAAGCUUCUGUAAAUGCAUAUUCUUGCAUGGAAAGCGAACGCUUAACAUUUCAUUUUUUCCACCAAGCUGAAUUAAGAUCUGAAACAUAUCAAGGAAUUACUGAAGCAAUUAACAAAGGUGCAUCAAGAGGUAAAGAUGUUGGGAUAAAACGUACAUUACCCUCCAGUUUUAUUGGCUCCAAAAGAUAUCUGAUACAAAAUUACCAUGAUUGUAUGGCUAUAUGUCGUGUCUAUGGAGCUCCACAACUCUUUAUAACACAAACUUGCAAUAGCAAUUGGCUUGAGAUAAUAGAACGAAUCAAGUAUGAAUCAGGUCAAAAACCACAUGACCAAAAUGAUAUUAUUGUUCGAGUGUUCCAUCUCAAGUUACAUGAGCUAUUAAAUGAUCUCAAAGAUGGGAGUACAUUUGGACCUGCUCUAGCUGAUCAACCAGAUAAUAACGAUGGAGUAGAUGAAAUAGCUGAAUAUAUAAAAUCUCGCUAUCUAUCUGCUUGCAAGUCAUUUUGGAGGCUCUUUGGGUUUGAAAUACAUGGUAGAACACCUGCUGUUGAGUGGCUCCAUGUUCAUUUACCUGGUAUGAAUAUCAUUACAUGUCAUGAAGCUCAAAAUGUCCAAGCCAUAAUAAAUAACCCUGAUUACCAAGUGACCAUGCUUACACAAUGGUUCGUCACUAACCAACAAAACAUGGAAGCAAGAGACCUAACAUAUUGUGAAUUCCCUACAAAAUGGACAUGGCACCCUGAUAAAAAAAUAUGGGCCAAAAGAGGUGUAAAAACACCCAAGAUAGGCCGACUACGGUUUAUACAUCCUAGAACCGGAGAAGCAUUUUACUUACGUGUGUUGCUUAUGGUAGUUCGAGGUGCGACAUGUUAUGAAGAUAUUCGAACAUAUGAAAAUAUCACAUACCCAACAUUCCGUGAAGCAUGUAAAGCUCGAGGUUUAAUAGGAGAUGAUACUGAAUGGUUUAUUUUAUUCGAAGAAGCCAUUGUUUGGGCAACAUCAUCUCAAUUGAGGCAUCUAUUCAUGACAAUUGUUACCUAUUGUGGUGUUACUGAUAUACAACUACUAUUUGAUAAAUAUUGGAAAUAUAUGACUGAUGAUAUUCUCUAUAAACUCCGUAGGACAUUGCAGAACAGCUCAUAUAAUAUUCCUACUGAACAUCUUAUGGAAUUGCUCAUGCAAGAACUAGAUUCAAUGUUUGCAAAAAAUGGACUAUCUUUAGCUACUUAUAAUCUUUCUCCAUCAAUCACUUCUUCUACCAUCACUAGAAAUAGAUUAAUCAUAGAGGAACUAUCUUAUGAUAGAAAUACAUUACAAGAACAAGCAAACAAGAUGUAUCAAACUCUUAACAACGAACAACGAAGAAUAUUUGAUUCAAUCAUGAUGAAUAUUCAAAACAAUACAAAUUUUCUUUACUUUGUGUCAGGUAUAUCUGCACCUUAUAUUCAAUGCAUGAAGAUCUACACCUUUCUAAAUAUGUAAUUAAGUACAUAGAUACUAAUGUAUUUAUUUUCUUUUCCCAAGAUUUGGAGGAACUGGUAAAGCAUUUCUAUGGAAAAGCAUAAUCUACAAGCUACGGUCACAAACAAAAAUUACCUUACCUGUAGCUACAAGUGCAAUUGCUGCUUUGUUACUCGCUGGAGGUAGAACAGCAUAUUCAAGAUUUCAAAUUCCGAUAGAUAUCAAUGAAUCAAGCACCUGCAAUAUACGGCAAGAUGACAAUAACUCCUUUGAAAAAUAUCAAUGCAUCAUCAUUUCGAGCAAAAAUAUGUGCAAGAGUUACAAGACUAUCUGAAUUUAGACUUGAUAAUAACCCAGAUAAAAUACAGAGACUUGAUUUUAUUCUACUAGAUGAAGAGGGGAAAGCUAUUGAAGCUCAAGUGCCUGAGCGUCAAGUGGAUCGGUAUAAACCACUACUUAGAGAAGAGGAAGUAUACUUCAUUCAAUACUUCCAAAUAUUUCCAACCAAAAUGACUUAUCGAGCAGUUGAUCAUAUGUUCUUAAUCAGAUUCACGAAUUACACUGAGGUCCAUAAGACAUCGACAAUCUCUCCGAUGUUUCCAAAGAUUGCUUACUCCUUAGUUUCAUUCGACAUAUUGAAGACAAGAAUAGAUAACAUCAACGAUAUGUCAGAUGUCAUAGGUAGACUAACUACAGUUGACCAUACUACAACAGCCUAUGUUAAAGGAGUACAAAAACCAAAUCGAAAACUUUAUUUGACAGAUGGUAGGGAAAGUAUUGAAGCUAUGCUUUGGGGUCGACAAGCUACAGAUUUUCCCGCCGAACAAAUUAUUGAAGAAAGCAAAAGAACACCAAUAAUUAUUCUGUUGCUUGGAGUGACUUGCAAAUCACGUGAAGGGUAAUACAUACCAAGUUGAUGUUGUGAUAAAAACACUGAAACCUAAUCAACCAUGAUGGUACCUUGGCUGUACUUCAUGUCACAAUUGAGUGCUCCAAGAAGGUGAUGGCUAUAGAUGCCCAAAAUGUGCUGCAACUACUGCUGAACCAAUGUAAGCAUACAAAUCAUCCUAUACAAAAUAGUAAGUUCAAUAAUGUUACUAAGCUAACAAAUGACUUAUUUCUUUAUUAGGUACCGUAUCACAUUAGUAGCAAUUGACCCAGCUAAUUUCAAUGAGGAAGACCCAAAAAGCAUUGAAAUUGUUUUCUUUGGUACCAUUGGAGAAGAACUCACAGGUGUUCCAGCUUUAACACUUGCAGCGUCUUCGACAAUAACUCCAGGAGAAAUACCUCUAGAAAUUACACGAUUAUAUGGACACAAGUACACUCUAAAGAUUAAUGUCUCCUUUUCAUCCAUGCAACAAACAAACAUAUCAUUUCAAGUUAGAUCCAUAAUAAAUACAUGUGGUCCAAUUGUUCCUGUCCUACCUACAACAAGCAAAAUGCCAGGUACAUGCUAAAACAUAAAUAAUUUUUACAAACUUUCGCCUAUUGCACAAACUUGCAUCUCCAACUUGGAUGUUCCUAAAAGUAGCUUACCUACAUACAAGAAGUUUCAAUAUUUUAGCUUAAUUGCAUAGAUCUGUUAGUGACUAAAAUCUUUAUAGUUCCUUUAAAUAAACCAUCAUAGCUAUUACUUCUGUAACCUUACAAACCAUACCAAGGAAACAACGUUAAAAUAAAAUCUUAAUAUUACCUCUCAACUCCUAUAGUUUAGUAUUUUUUCAUUUUUCCAAUGUAUAGGGAAUACCUUAUUAUUACUCAGCUUACAUUUAUUGCUUUAAUUCCUAUAACUGCUGUCACUAUUUAUUCAUCUUGGUCACUGAGAUUUUACAAUCUAUUUACAGUAACAAGCAGUAAUUGAUUAUACAAUGUUUCAUAUAUCAGUUACAUUUUCUUUCCCUUUAUUCCACAUGAAUAUAUAUACUUUACUAAAUUUAAAAAAAACAUUGUAUACCUACAUACUAACUAACAUACUUUCAAUUACACAGGAACUACUUUGGCUCAAACACACAGCCCAACAUCAAUUGAUAUU